GUGGGGGCUGGGUAAAAGGAGGGAGGGGAGAACUCCGCGCGCCCCAAGAGCGAAAGCAAACAGCUAGCUGUGGAGGCGCUGCCCGCAGCUCAAGCUUCCCAACAGGUUAGCUAGACGGGGAUCCACCUGGUAUUUCGAAGGAAGGGGGGGCAGAGGAGGAGAGAAUCGUACUAGGAGACAGAGGGAGGGCGGGAAAGCG
rnacentral:lncRNA from 1 species